rnacentral:rRNA from 1 species
GUCCACGCCGUAAACGAUGAGUGCUAGAUGCUGUGGGUAUUGACCCCCGCGGUGUCGCAGCCAACGCGUUAAGCACUCCGCCUGGGGAGUACGGCCGCAAGGCUAAAACUCAAAGGAAUUGACGGGGGCCCCGCACAAGCGGUGGAGCAUGUGGUUCAAUUCGACGCAACGCGCAGAACCUUACCUGGGUUAAAUCCACUCGAACCUGGCAGAGAUGCUGGGAUGCCCUUCGGGGAGCGAGUGAGAAGGUGCUGCAUGGCUGUCGU